AUAAUUAAUAUAUAUAUAUAUAUAUAUAUAUAUAUAUAUAUAUAUCUAUAUCCCGUGUAACUGUGAGUAUGGAAUCUACCACUACACCCUAAUAGAAAGGCAGAUAUGGUAUGAAAGGGAACAUUUUGUUGAAAGGUUUUGGGAAAUAGAAGCACAAUCUAGAAAGCGUAUAGUUAUAGCUCUAUAUUACAACAGACAUGCUAUUACGAAUGUGUAUAUAUGUCCAGUAUAAUGAUCUGGUAAACAGUCUAGAAGUAGCAAAUUU